UGGUGGAGUGAUUUGUCUGCUUAAUUGCGAUAACGAACGAGACCUUAACCUGCUAAAUAGCCCGUAUUGCUUUGGCAGUACGCCGGCUUCUUAGAGGGACUAUCGGCUCAAGCCGAUGGAAGUUUGAGGCAAUAACA
rnacentral:rRNA from 1 species